rnacentral:rRNA from 1 species
CCUACGGGUGGCAGCAGUGAGGAAUAUUGGUCAAUGGACGAGAGUCUGAACCAGCCAAGUCGCGUGAAGGAUGACUGCCCUAUGGGUUGUAAACUUCUUUUGUCGAGGAGUAAAGCGAGGCACGUGUGCCGUUUGGCGUGUACUUUGUGAAUAAGCAUCGGCUAACUCCGUGCCAGCAGCCGCGGUAAUACGGAGGAUGCGAGCGUUAUCCGGAUUUAUUGGGUUUAAAGGGAGCGUAGAUGGGUUGUUAAGUCAGUGGUUAAAGUUUGGGGCUCAACCGUAAGAUGGCAAUUGAUACUGGCGGGCUGGAGUAGAGUUGAGGUAGGCGGAAUGCGCGGUGUAGCGGUGAAAUGCUUAGAUAUCACGAAGAACCCCGAUUGCGAAGGCAGCGUACUAGA